CUGGAAGCAGAUCGGCGGCCGCGGGGAGGUUCGGGGCGGCGCAGCCCCGCGCGGUUGUGGGAUCGCUCCCGGGGGCCGCUCCUCUCUCGGGCACUGGGGUCGCGGGAGACGUCGUCGGGAGCUCGGUUUCUGGAGGCCCUUCCCCACCCGGCCUCUGCCUCCUCCACUCCCCCGGGCUGGACGGAACGGGGCCCAGCGCGGGAUGCGAGAGGUAUGAUUUCGCUCUGUCGCCCAGGCUGGAGGGCAGUGGCGCAAUCUCGGCUCACUGCAGCCUCGAACUCCUAGGCUGAAGCGAUUCUCCCGCCUCAGCCUCCAAAGUAGCCGGUACUACAGGCGCGCGCCACCACGCCUGGCUAAGAAAUAACCAUGGAUAUGGGUAGAGACAGAGCCAUAUGGAAUGCACACUGCAGUGGUGAACACAUGGCCCAGCUCUGCCAUCAAGGAGAAGGUGAGAACAUGGGGGAAGAUUUUAUCGAAGUUUCUUUUCUGGGGCAUAUGCUCAGGUUAAACACCUGCUCUGUAUCUCUAGCUUCUGACUCCUACCCCUGGCCAGCUCUGUUACUCUAGUACACUGCUAGGCAGGCAGAGUAUGGCCAAAGUAUUCACAACAGUGCAUCACUAAAUCAACUGGGAUCCACACAAUGGAAUAUCCUAAUGCAUCAUUAAAAAUCACAUUGUAAAAGAAGAUUUUAUAACAGAAAAAAAUGCACUGUAUAUGAUACAUUUUUAAAAUGUUACUUAUGCCAGUCACAAUAAAAGACAAUUACACUUAUAUGGGAUAGAGUAGUCAAUAUUAUAGAGACAGAAGGUAGAAAUGGGUCUGGGUGGAAAUUAGAAUGAGAUGUUCUUAGCAUUCCAGUUUUACAAGAUGAAAAGAGUAACGGAGACAGAUGGCAGUGGUGGUUGCAUGACAUUAUGAAUGUACAUAAUUAAAAAUGGGUAAGAUGGCACAGUGAGAUACCAUCUCACACCAGUCAAAAUGGCUAUUACUAAAAAGUCAAAAAAAUAACAGAUGCUGGGGAGCUUGUAGAGAAAAGGGAAUGCUUAUACACUGCUAGUGGCAGUGUAAGUUAGUCCAGCCACUGUGGCAAUUCCUCAAAGAACUUAGAACUAUCAUUUGACCCAGCAAUCCCAUUACUGGGUAUAUACCCAAAGGAAUAUAAAUUGUUCUGCCUUAAAGACACAUGCAUGUGAUUGUUCAUUGCAGCACUCUUUAUAAUAACAAAGACAUGGAAUCAACCUAAAUGCUCAUCAACAGUAGACUGGAUAAAGAAAAUGUGGUUCAUAUACACCAUGGAAUACUAUGCAGCCAUAAAAAAGAAUGAGAUUAUUUCCUUUGCAGGAACAUGAAUGGAGCUGGAGGCCAUCAUCCUUAGUGAACUAACACAGGAGCAGAAAACCAAAUACCACAUGUUCUCAUGUGUAAGUGGGAGCUAAAUGAUGAGAACACAUGGACACAAAGAGGGGAACAACAGACACUGAAGCCUCCUUGAGGGAGGAGGGUAAGAGGAAGGAGAAGAUCAGAAAAGAUAACUACCAGGUACUAUGGUAGCUUAGUACCUGGGUGAUGAAAUAAUCUGUACACCCAACCCUCAUGACAGAAGUUUACCUGUGUAACAAACCUGCACAUGUAUCCCUGAAACUAAAAGUUUUUUAAAAAGUUAUUUAAUAUAUAUAUAUUUUUUUGAGACGGAGUUUUGCUCUUGUUGCCCAGGCUGGAGUGCGGUGGCGCAAUUUCGGCUCACCACAACCUCCGCCUCCCAGGUUCAAGCUAUUCCCCUGCCUCAGCCUCCCUAGUAGCUGGGAUUACAGGCUUGUGCCACCACGCCGGCUAAUUUUGUAUUUUUUGUAGAGACGGGGUUUCUCCAUGUUGGUCAGGCUGGUCUCGAACUCCCGACCUCAGGUGAUCCACCCCCCUCGGCCUCCCAAAGUGCUAGGAUUACAGGCAUGAGCCACUGCGCCCGGCAAAAAGUUAUUUAAUAUUAAUGGGACAAUACUCAUUGCAAGAAUCAGACUUCAAUUGCUAGCAUAAGUAAAUGACAGGCAGGAGAUAUUGAAAAUGCAAUCUUAUAGACAUUCAAGGAGAGGACGCAGGACAUUUCUGUGUCAUAAAUGUACUAUGGAAAAUAAAAAUGAGAAAAAUGGAAAUAAAAUACAAGAAAAGGUUAUGAUAAAUUUCAUAUUAUUUUACCACAAUAAAAAAAUUUUAAUAAAUUAUAAAUGGUGUGAUAUGUUUUGCCUGUGUUCCACCCAAAUCUCAUCUUGAAUUAGAGCUCCCACAAUUCCCACGUGUUGUGGCUGGGACCCUGUGGGAGAUAAUUGAAUCAUGGGGGCAGUUUACCCCAUACUGUUCUCUUGGUGGUGAAUAAGUCUCAUGAGAGUUGAUGGUUUGAUAAGGGGUUUCCCCUUUUGCUUGGCUCUCAUUCUCUCUUGACUGCCACCAUGUAAGAUGUGCCUUUUGCCUUCCACCAUGAUUGUGAAGCCUCCCAGCCACAUGGAACUGUGAGUC
rnacentral:lncRNA from 10 species